CGCGGCACCGACGGCGCCCUGCGGCCCCUUCUCUGCGCCCACGCGUGAUGCCCCGGCCCGGGCGGCGAGGAGCACGUCCUGUUCCCACACACUCAUCCCAGCACGCCCGCACCACGGCGCGCACUGCCAUCAGCCCUCUGGCACUAAGAAUGCACGUCACCGGGGCGCUGGAGAUCCCCGUUGCUGGCCGGUAGCCGACCCUUCCCGAGCGCCCGGCUUCCAGCAGCACGAGCCCGGUGCCACCAGCGCGCCCUUCGCAGCCCAGCCCAGCCCACGUGUGCUCAGCUGGGGCCCAGCCGAUAGCAUUCUCCAUAUCCCUCGCUGCCGCCUGCCCCAGCGGUUCUCCCCAGCCGGCCUUCACAGAGGAGUCUGAGCUCGCUGCCAACAGCCCUGCGUGCUCGUGUCCCAAACACAAGGCAGCUCGGCACACGUUCCCGGCAGAGGGAAGGACCUCCAGGCCAGCCCGCAUUCCACAUGGAUUUCAGGUCCCACUGAACCCUGCCUCCAUCAGGGAACACUGGCACAGACGCAGCACUGUUCACCAUGUCCUCAACAUGUACUUUGCUCCUGGCAAGGUGGAGACUUCUAUGGAUAGUCACACCAAGAAUGCAGCAACCCCCUGGGAAGGUCCACCACAAUCUCCUUCCAAGGUCUUCACUGCAAUCUCUCCAACCUCCCUUUUUAUUUACACAGUCCACUCAAGCAAGUGGCAACAGGACUCUUCAGCUUGUCCCAAGCUAGCAGACCAGUAGUCAUGGCUCACAAAAAAGGUAGCUCAGAGGAACUUCCAGCAACACCUUCUGUCCACAGGUGCAAUGCUAUGAAGGGGGAAUAGCCUCAACUAACUGCCUGAAUUCUCUGGAAAGCCGCAUCCACAAUAGGGUGCACCCCACUGGCUCCCCGUUUGACUUCAGAUGUUGCCAAGGCAAUGUUUUAUAUCAGCAAUUCUACACUUCAAUUUAAACAAAACCAGCAAUAGCAUAGAAGUGACAAAUCCAGCUGUGAUGAGAUGCUACCACAAUUCUGCAUAGGUGGCAGCUUGAAAAUCCACCUCUUUCAUUUUACUAAAAUUUCUUGGAUUACAAAGACUUUUAGAUUUACAGAUUCCCUACCACAUCCCACAUCCCAUUUUCAAACACUGUAAAACAUCAAGAUUUUGGUUAACAGAACAAGAUCCUGAAAUACAGCCAAACACAACCAGUCUGUCCUUAAGGACAAGAUCACAGAAAGAAAAGAAUACUAAACUACUGUAGAAGGAAUGACAAAAAGUUUUAUGUCUUAAAAUUAAUACCCUAGCUAUCAAACCAAUACAAGACCAUUAUUCUAGUUUUGGAAAAGGAAAGGAGCUAGUUAAAUCUGUUAGCAAGGACUUCCAAAACCAUACUCUGCAACUCACAAACAAUCCUCUCAAACCCACAAGAGGUACAUGCCACCCAUCUUGACCCACAAAGAACCAAGCAAAACGGGACUCUGGAAUAGCCCAUUAAGAUGGGACCAAGCAACAGAACUGAAAACACGCUCCUCCUGCAGUCUUAGGCUCCAUUUCAGCCAGUGUAGCUGCAGGAUGUCACCCUGCCAUCCAUUCUUACCUGCUUCCUCAGCAUCUCUUUGCCAGUUGCUUUUCAGGCAGCUCAGUAAGCUGAUCCAGCUACCUACAGCUGGUCUUUCUUGCAGAGUUAGUUGUCUGCCACACAAGCAGACCUCACUCACACCACCACAGCCACACAUUGACUGGAGGCAACAUAAGGGAAGCAGCGAGAGCUCACAGCCAGUGACUACAGCAGCAGCAAUUCUUUUGGCAGCAGCCUGGUCUUGGAGCAAUUCGAGCUGACCAAUGGGCUCAACUGUAUCCUCAAUAUAUAGUUUCAUAAUACUGCCAGGUUUCCUUUCUGUUGCACCAGCACUGAAAUUCAUAUGACCAAAGCAGUCUAUGGAGCAUAAAUAGCCCCAAGUGACUAAUUUUCUGCAGGGUAGACUCCUUAACCAGAUCAUCACACAAACAGACCAACAUCAGUGCCAGCAUAAGGAGGAAAAAAGCAAGAGUGGAGUUCUCCAUCUACCUUCUCUCUUCACACCAAACUUUUACAUCAGAAAGCCAUGAUGUAAAACCACACACUCAGUCUUGUGACUGAAGGCAUCUCAUUUAUAAACUGACACCACUGAUUCCAAUGUAAGGGACAUGAACAAGGCUGUGAAGGUUGGAGUGAACACCCAAGAACUGGCAAUAAAUAGCAAAGACGAAGAACCAGUCCACCAAAUGGAGUAUUCUAUAUCCAAAUCUAGGAACCAACAAAAAGUUGUGGAGCCCCAAAAGUUUUGACAUAGAUCUGGGUCUACCAGGACAAAAAUACUGAGGUAAAGAGCUGGUAUUAGAACACCUGUAAAAUGGUAAGAAUACACAUUCCUUUCUGCCAUGCAAGACAAACACUAGCUUGGACAUGCAGGACAUCUGAGAGCAGGAACAAACUGCAAGACACCCUAACUCUAAUAGCUUGUUCAACUACUGACAGGGUAGCAGCUUUUUCCAGCAGUGCAGUGAUCGUCUACUGCCCUAUCCUUCUCCUGGUUGCUGCUCCUCACUCCUGUUAGAGUCACUGAGUCACAGAAUAUUCUGAGUUGGGAGAUCUGACUUUUAAGCCAUGAUGAAUCACCUCUACUCGUCACACUCUGGAGAUGGAGAGCUCUUGUGGCAGAUAGGACUCAGACAUCAGGAGUACUGUAUUUUUCAAGAAAAUAUAUUUGUGAAAAACAAUAGUAAGUUACAAAUUUAUAACUCAAGCACCUUUGCUGGCAGGAUAAGAAUCCUGGGGAAGGGAGCAGAUGGACCAGAGCCUAUGGGAAACAGGUCUUCCAGAGAUGAGAACAGAUACAAGAGAAGAGUUUUGGAGAAACAGACCAGCCAGUCACAGACAAGGAACAUGAAACUGGGUCUUUUUGGUGAAGUAGAGUACAGAGAAGAACAGCAUGCAAGCGUUGAUUGGGUAGCAGCAACUGCAGAACUAUAGGUAGUUCUCCGCCUUCUGCUUUCUGUAUCUACACACAUUCUUCCACACCUCUGCACCUAAAAGCAGGGACUAGACACUUUGGAAAGAGAUCAGAUUCUUCAGUUUCUGCACAACAAGCUCCUCCCCUCAACAAUAAAAACCUUUGCCCCACUGAGUUUA